UCACAAUGAUUUUUUCUUUGCAAAUCAGGAAUGUAAUCCUAUGUAAAACUGAAAUCGGCGGACUAAGGCUUCUGUCAUAAACAUCUCAUUCAAUAAUUGUCCCAUUCGAAUCAUCGAUCCAAUCAAUGGUUUAUGUUCUCUAAGUGACCGGUUUUUGGAUGCUCGUGGAAGUAUACGCAAACAAGUGGUUGCAAUAACUUGAGAUGCAACGUCUAUGGAUUUAUCAUCCAUUUCACCUGAAACCAUAAAGCAUCUCGUCGAGCGCCUUGAGGACAAAUCUGUAAAAACACCUUUUUGUUCUCUAUAUCACUAACAUCGUUCUUUAUGGGCUGGGGAAAUCUCCUAAAUUACAAGAGAGGAAGAUAGAGUUAGCAUUGAUUGGGAAGGAAGGAACUAGAAAUCCAUUUAAGAGGACUUUACCCGGGAAGGAACUUACUUUUUCUAAAAAGGUGAUUUGCGGUUAAUUCAUUGUCAUUUGAUAAGUUAUUAGGAAUAUGAUGGAACGGAAGACCAAGGAAAGAAAGAACAAUGCACCAAAAUGCAGGUGUUGCACCAAACACAAGCUGCCAACCAAUAAAGGAAACACCUUUAUAGACUGAGAACCUCCAUGACUAGGACAAAAAAAGACGUUAUAGUUCUUGAUGAAUUAUUUGUUUGUUUCGGUGUUGAACUAUAAUUGUAGUAUCUUUAGCCUUUGUCAUAAAUUGAUGGCUUUUAGUUUUCUUGGAAGGAAGAACAAUAUAGGUGAGAUGAUCUGGUGCAAUAAGAAGAACCAAGGGUAUAAUGGUCUUUUUUGGGGAUUUGUCAAUUGUAGCAGGUAUAUUCAAAACUGUAUAGAGCAUCUUGACAAUAGAUAGCAAAGGGAAAAGGUUUUAUGCUAUAAAACAUAAUUGGAUGAUCAAAUGAGAAAAUCAUGAUAAAGAAGUGUAUUCACCAAUAUAGUAAGUUAACCUUACUUUAUAGUUAUCAAUUCACAAGCAGUUGAAACC